GAUGAACGCUGGCGGCGUGCCUAAUACAUGCAAGUCGAGCGAAGCGGGGACGGGUGAGUAACACGUGGAUAACCUCCUAUAAGACUGGGGUAACUUCGGGAAACCGGAGCUAAACCGGAUACUUAAAGCAGGAUCCGCGCUGCAUUAGCUAGGUGGUAAGGUAACGGCGUACCAAGGCAACGAUGCCUAGCCGACCUGAGAGGUGGAUCGGCCACACUGGGACUGAGACACGGUCCAGACUCCUACGGGAGGCAGCAGUAGGGAAUCUUCCGCAAUGGGCGAAAGCCUGACGGAGCAACGCCGCGUGAAUGAUGAAGGUCUUCGGGUCGUAAAACUCUGUUAUUAGGGAAGCGGUACCUAAUCAGAAAGCCACGGCUAACUACGUGCCAGCAGCCGCGGUAAUUC
rnacentral:rRNA from 1 species